rnacentral:lncRNA from 10 species
GACGUCAUCUGCAGGCCCUGGAGACGCGACUGCAGUUACCGAGUUUCUAAGGCCUCGUCCCCUGACGGGAAGGCGGCGUUGGGGGGCGGCUGGGUUUACCCUUCGAGGAGUUAGAAAACACCAGGAAAAGGGUUGUUCCCACCUGGAAGAGAAAUGCUAGAGCAACACACCAUCUUCCUCAACAUUAUCAUCUGUCUCUGGAUGACAAUGAAAUUCACAGGACACUGAUUGUCUUUUUAUCCCAUUGGACAUCGUGAUAGUCUACAAUACUGAUAACACCAUGAUGAUAGGAUCUGAAGACCUGGAAGUACCAGAGGCAGGGUUUCACCAUGUUGCCCAGGCUGGUCUCGAACUGGACGCAAGCAAUCCUCCUGCCUUGACCUGCCAAAGAGCUGGGAUUACUGGCAUCAGCAGGAAGAAGAGAUGGAAGCAACGCCAUGGACCUUCACGUCCUUCAGAGUGUGGGUGGGCUUGGGCUUUGCAGUGAGAGCAAGUAUCACCCAGGAUGGAGAUGGGAGGUAAUGGGUGGCCCCGACAGGUGCCUCCUACUGCUGGCAGCAAGGAGAGAGUGAAGAGGCAGAAUUUCCUUGGUCUAGACUAGAGUCUGGGUCAUGGGCAUGGCAGUGCUUGAGCUUUUGACCAGAAGCAAGUGGACAUGGAUUUGAGCUUCGGGUAAGAAGGGAGACUUCUCUCCAGGGACCAUAGGGGCUGGCAGCUGAAGAAGGUGACUUGGCCCCUCUCUAGAGGGUGAACGCAGGAUCAAUUCAAGGCCAUGAAGUGGAUGCAGCUGGGAGAGCC